UAUAAUCCAAAAACAUUGGGAAAGCUCCUUACUCUUUUUUCUUCAAAAACUUGCCUCUUGCUAGCUACCUCUAAAAUUCUACGCAGAGUCUAAGUUCUACCUCGCUCUUAAUCGCACCGAUCCCGCAACAGCUUCCAGAGCACAAUUUUUUCCUGCUUGUUCGCUCCCCGCUCUGCUCCCGAAUGCGCUGCUUACCUCGUUUGAAAAUUCCCCCCUGAGACCAACUCCGCCUCACUGCGCCCCGCUGCCAAUCACAUAACCCUUGCACCGCUCCCUUCGCACCCCGGUUAGCCAAUCCGCUCCAGGCUCGAUUUACCUUCUCAGCCAUAGGUUAAUUCACUUACUGGCAUUCAGGAUAAAUAAUCUAACAUUUCAGCUUAAAUUUAACUGUUUUUUUCUCUCUCAGAAUAAACAAGCAAGCUUUCUCUUUUUUCUCAAAGAAGCAUGGCCGUGAGACCUACCGACCUAACGGUGCUUUCUCAAACUCCUGUAAACUGCUACAGAGCUUCCGCCACGGCGUCUGAACUCAGAAGACUACAUCUCUGCAGAGUGCAGCCAACAGCAGCGGCCAACCGUUUGGAGCAAAGAUUCAGCCUCAACAAUGGCAGGUUUUGGGGUUAUGCCUUCAGCCUACCACAGAGUGAAAUCUUUUUCUAUCAGCUCAAAGCCGGUGAAAGUUUUGGACCGUUAACACCGCGAAUCGCUUUUACUAGCUCUGACUGGGCGGUUAUUACACUCAUUACCACCCCUGAAAUAGAGAGAAGCCUGCGGGAAACCAGCUCUCAGCAACCGCGAACCAGAGACCAGCAAACACAGACGCAUCGGGUUUUCAAACAGGAAGACUCAUUCCCUCCAUUCACCCAAGAACACAAACGACUCCGGAAUGAAAACACGGUGACCAAAACCGUCACAUACACCCAGUGGGAGACCAAGAGCACUCCAUUUUGCAGAUGGGUAUGUAGAGUUAGUCGACAAACAUGCGAGCAAGCUUGCACAGAUGAUUUUGUGAUCGACCUUACAAACUCCCAGUCCGGGGUUUUCAGCACAUUGCUUCGGAUUCCGACUCAGCACUGGCUCAACAUGAUGGCUGAGAACAAUGCGACAAUAUUAAACCUGUUCAAAAUGAGUAAAAGUACAACUGAGUUGGUGAUGGUUGGAAAUAACCCGCCACGGUCAACAUACCCCCACCCCCACUUCCGGCCCCCCCUUACCCCGCCUUCUCCUACCCCUAGCCCUUAAAAACCGCAAUCGCUCUCUCAUCCGCUACUUAAAACAACCAUGACUAACCACAGCUUUGGACCCCUCGGCUCUCUAUCUCCAUCAUCCCUCCGACCAUCAGCUGCUUCUACACCACCACCCAGCCCGCCAAUGGAUCUCGCUACACCGCCACCCAGCCCGCCAAUCGACCUGGCUACACCGCCACCCACUCCGCCAAUCGAUCUGGCUACUCCGCCAUCCAGUCCGUUGUUCGAGAGCCCGCAUCAGGCCUCAGCGUCUCCGGCCGCUAUGCCUCCACCCCCGCCCUCAUCACCGCAAGGCUGGAACUCGCCCAGCCAUCCACAACUAGCGGCUCUCGGGUGGCAAUCACCGGAGCAGAGCCCCUCAAGCACCGCAAUCUCCGGUGCAUCGCUGUGGGCCUUGGGCGACCCUGUGUGCCGGGCUCUUUUCCGAGAGUCUGAAGACAACGAGCCUUCGCCCGCGGACAUCGAUGAGGCCGCGACUCUACUCCCUACUGCUGUUUUUGAACUUAUAAAAUUGACUGUAAAAUACCUCGUUAACUCCUUGCUCCAGAAACACAGACAAGAUGUCUGUCAAGGAUGUGAGGUGUCACAUCCCUCACAAAGACGACAUUCAUGUCUUUUCCCACUGGAAAAAUAUUACUUUUUCAAGUACUAUGAUGAACUCAGCAGAAGAUUAUGGAAUGGACAUUUCACCAACACAUUAUUACAAAUUUUGCGGUUAGAGGGUUUUUCACCACCAGCGGCUCAAGUCAGAGGUGUGGCCCAAGCAUAUCUCUUUGAACUCCGAGAGGCCAGUGAUAUAGAGACCGCACUGUUAGAAAUUGAGUCAAGCGUUACAGAAGUUACCCGGACCACAAUUGAUAAAGUACUAUAUGACAAAUACUCCCUUUGGCUCCCCUAGUAAUCGUUUUUUCUUCUCUCCCUUUUACCAUUUAUUUUUCUUAACAUGUUUUUUAUUUUUCUUAUUUUUACUUUUAAAUGUUUUUCUCUGUUAGUUUUUAGAACUUUUCUUGUUCAUGUUUAUUGUUUUGUUCAUUACAUCAGAUUAAAUAGUUUGUUGAAAACCAUUACCUGAAAUAAAACUUUUUUGGAAAAGCAUUGCAACAAUCAAUCUUGUUAUUUGUUUCGCACCCAUUCAAAUCUAUUGCUUCCAUGACAUCAGAUUAAAUAGUUUGUGGAAAACCGUUACAUCAAAUAAAACUUUUUUGGAAAAGCGUUGUAGUAAAUCAAACUAAUUAUUUUUUCACUAGAAAAGAAACAAACUAUAAUGUUAUUAAUUAUAUCAAAUAAAAAAUAUAUUUGCAAACUCGUUACAUGACAUAAAACUAGCCGCUCAUAAUGAAAUAAAACCAUAGUUAAACAUAACUUGAAAGAUCACACAUGGCAGAGCAGAAUCUAUUGAAACGUGCAUAUUAUGACCCAGCUCACCCUGGUAGCUUUUGCGGUGUGGAAAAAUUGAUUAAAAGCAUACAGGAUGAAACUGGUACAAAGAUUAACGCGC
ensembl:lncRNA